CAUAGGAUGACAAAGGGAAGCC
rnacentral:miRNA from 1 species